rnacentral:rRNA from 1 species
GAGGGACCUCCGUGGCGAGGCAUCUUCCAGAUCGCUCGCCUGAGGACGAACUGCGGACGACGGUGUACCACGGAGUGCCAGCGUAGCUUGCCGUAGUUGCCCUGUAACUACGAGUUACCGGUGCGAAGUGGAAUACUGAAACGUGCCGCCUGGAAAGUACCGGUCGCAAGGCUGAAACUUAAAGGGAAUUGGCGGGGGAGCACCACAACCGGGUGGAUCUUGCGGGUUUAAUUUGACUCAACGCCGGGCAGCUCACCGGAUAGGACAGCGGAAUGAUAGCCGGGCUGAAGACCUUGCUUGACCAGCUGAGAGGAGGUGCAUGGCCGUCGGGGAGAUCGAACUGCCCCCCCUCCCCGCCUACUCAGGCAACGAGCGAGACCCACUCCAUCAUAUUUCUACCCUCCCCCUCCCCCCAUGAUGAAAAAGAGAGGAGAGAGACCGCCUUUGCUAAAGAGGAGGUUUUUUUUUCUUCUUUGGUCUGCAUGCCCCGAAUUAUCCGGGCUACACGCGGGCUACAAUGGUCAGGACAAUGGGAAAAAGGAGGGGGAAAGGUGUAGUCAAUCUCCUAAACCUGUCCCAAGUUCGGAUUGUGGGCUGCAACUCUCCCCCACGAAGCAGGAAUCCGUGUAUCCUUUUCAAUUUCCGGAAAAGUCUCCCCCCACGCGAUGACCCCGGCCCCGAGGAGCCUGAGACUGUAGAGUCGA